AUGGAGGUUUUGGAAGAUCGUAGAGUUCCUUUGGUCGCAUACAAGCUGAAAGGUGGGGCUGGUGCAUGGUGGCACCGUGUUCAAGAAGAGCGCAGGCUGAGGGGAGAACCUCGUGUAAGAACUUGGCGGCAAAUGAAAAGCCUUUUGAAAGGGAGAUUUUUACCUGUUGAUUAUGACCAGAUCCUAUUUAUCAAAUUCCAAAAUUGUGCUCAAGGAAAUAGGACUGUUUCAGAUUAUACGAAGGAGUUUCUAAGGCUACAAGUGAGGUGCAACCUUGCUGAAACUGAAGAUCAACAAGUUGCAAGGUACGUCAAUGGUCUCAAUGAUGCUAUUCAAGUUUGA
rnacentral:rRNA from 1 species